GAUGAACGCUAGCGGCAGGCUUAAUACAUGCAAGUCGAGGGGCAGCAGCUUUAUAGCAAUAUAGAGGCUGGCGACCGGCAAACGGGUGCGGAACACGUACACAACCUUCCUUGAAUAGGGGGAUAGCCCAUAGAAAUGUGGAUUAAUACCCCGUAAUAUAGCGGUGUGGCAUCACACUGUUAUUAUAGUUUCGGCGAUUCGAGAUGGGUGUGCGGCUGAUUAGGUAGUUGGCGGGGUAAAGGCCCACCAAGCCUUCGAUCAGUAGCUGAUGUGAGAGCAUGAUCAGCCACACGGGCACUGAGACACGGGCCCG
rnacentral:rRNA from 1 species